CUGCUCGCUUCAGCAGCACAUAUACUAAAAUUGGAAUGAUGCAGAGAAGAUUAGCGUGGCCCCUGUGCAAGGAUGGCAAGCAGAUUCGUGAAGUAUUCUAUAUUUUU
ensembl:snRNA U6 U6 spliceosomal RNA